CUCCCCUUCUGUUCCCUCUCGGUUUUGUCCCUUUUCUCUCUUUUUUUCUUAUUUUUUUCUUCUCCUCUCCUUCUCUUUCUCUUUUUCUCUCCUCUUCUCCUCCUCCCCUCUCUUCCCUCUCGGUUUCGUCGAUUGGGAUGGUGGCAACGACGUUACUGUCGCUCUUCUCCCUUUCCUCUCUUUUCUCUUCUUCUUUGCUUCUCCUCCUCUUCUUUUCUUCCUCUUUUCCUACUCCGUGCCGUCCCAACUCCGCCGUUCUGUCCACUUCAACGUCGCGGCCACUCCCUCAACGGUAACAAAAGAAAGGUAUACAGACUCUCAGAUCUACCUCCUUGGCUUUCUAUUUGUUCGAUUCAACCAGAUUCGGGUUUGCAUGCAUCGGAGGACGCCUCCGGCGAGUCCUCCAGUGACAUGCAAACUAUGAUCUCCAUUUCUAAGGUCCUAAUAUUUCAUUUAAAUACCCUUUCUGACUUUGUGAUUUUGUUUCGUUUUUUUAUUUGGAGUGAAAACCGGCGGAGAGGAAGAAGAAGACCCCGCCGAAAAUGCUGCCAGCGGCAGCGGCGGAGACCGAUGUGGAGUGGAGAAAGAGAGGAAGAGAAAGAACGCCGGGUAAAAAAACUCUGUCUUGCUUCUUUUUAUUAAUCUCUGUUUUGGUGGUUACGAAAUUAACUACGGAUUUCUCUGAUUUUUUAGGUCUUCGAAAAUGGGUAGAAUCGAUUUUUCUAGAAAAACUAGAGGAAAGGGAGAAGACUGGCUUUAGGAU
rnacentral:lncRNA from 1 species